GCCGUCUGCCAUGGCGGGUGGGUGAAAGACCCGAGCUAACAUGGGGUUAGUUCGUUAAAUUACAAUAAAGCCUCGUGCAGUUUGCAGCAAGCUCUCGAAUCCGCCUGGUGAUUGGGGUGACCGCGAACCUGGCCUGAGACCCCGGAUACUUGAGUUUUCGGGGGUCUAACAUUUUGGGGGCUCGUCCGGGAUUUGCGACCACCCUUCACCUGAGUGGAUUCGAUCUUGGAGGUUUCUGCUUCUCUCUGACAUCUGAGUAUCAGUUGCUGACUACCGGCUGUUCUAAGUAGACUGCGAGCCCUAGAUUUGCUGUGGAU
rnacentral:lncRNA from 1 species